CGGUCGCUGCCGCGAGGCAGAGGAAAGUCCGGACUCCGCAGGGCGGGAAACCGGUCUUAACGGGCCGGGGACGCCGGGCAAACCGGCGUGACGGAAAGUGCCACAGAAACAGACAGCGAAGAGUUCUCCGGAACUCCGCUACGGUGAAAAGGCGGGGCAAGAGCCCACCGGCGCGGCUGAAACGACGCGUGACAAGGCAAACCCUUUCCGGAGCAAGGUCAAAUAGGGGGCCGAACGCGCUGCCCGCGCGGCAGGCGUCCGAAGAGGACGUCCAUGAGGUCCCGGGUUGACCGCUCAGAUGAAUGAUCGGAGUCCCCGCAAGGGGAUGAACAGAAUCCGGCUUAUUCGCCG
rnacentral:RNase_P_RNA from 1 species